rnacentral:rRNA from 1 species
UACGAAGGUCCCAAGCUGUUACGUCCGGAUUUAUUGGGUUUAAAGGGUGCGUAGGCGGUCUAUUAAGUCAGUGGUGAAAGCCCCAAGCUCAACUUGGGAACUGCCAUUGAUACUGAUGGACUUGAGUACAUUUGAGGUGGGCGGAAUGUGUCAUGUAGCGGUGAAAUGCUUAGAUAUGACACAGAACACCGAUUGCGAAGGCAGCUCACUAAACUGUAACUGACGCUGAGGCACGAAAGCGUGGGGAGCAAACAGG